rnacentral:rRNA from 1 species
AUGCAGUUAACUGCACUUAACAUCCAGUACCGCGGGUUAAUUAAAGAAGACGGCAGGGUGUUUCUUGCAAAAGUGAGGGAGAAGACCGGUCCAGCCACCUGGCUUUUUCGAGUUGUGAUAGGCCGGGGACUGAAUCAUCACAUCCAGUGCAAGUUGGGGUAUGGUGGAGUUGCAUUUUGCAAGUUUGAUACUAAAUCAUCACAUUCCAUGCAAGUUAGGGUACUUGGGGUGCUUUUACCUCUUCUCUCAUCUACUGCGACGGAGACUGGAGGCGCUGGGGUGGCUGGGCGUACUGGGGGUGGGGGAGCUUCCAGCAGAUGGCGUGAGGGCCUCGGCCUCUUGGCGGCACGGAACGUACCCUAUGGCGAGGUUGUCGUUGAGGUGCCCAAGAAUCUCUGGAUGGAUGCGGGCGCCGUCACCGACUCCAGCCUCGGCCGCGUCUGUGGCAGCGGUGAGGACCUCCACCGCGGGUCUCCGACUUGCUGCUCAUCCUUCGGAAAGCUGUGUGCGCAGGGGAGGCGAACCCCAUGA